GGGUGGCCCGCCGCGCCAGCUCCGGCAACCGCCGCCUCUCUGGAAACUUUCUCCUCAGUGGCCAGCGGCCCUUCCCGCCCCUCACCCGCGGAGCCGGGGCCGGCCGGCACGAAAGGGCUCCCCGCGGGCAGCCGGGGCCGGGGCCGCACCGGCCUGCCCUGCGCCGCGAUGGACUCCGGCGGCGGCGAGACCCACGAGCUCAACGGGCUGGCGGAGGGCGCGGAGCCGGCGGUCGACGAGCGGCGCAGAACGUCACAGUGGUUUCAAAGAAAUGGACCUAUGAAUAUCAAUCACUACGCAAAUAAGAAGAGCGCUGCGGAGAGUAUGUUGGAUAUUGCCCUGCUGAUGGCCAAUGCCUCCCAACUGAAAGCCGUGAUGGAGCAAGGACCUUCUUUUUCCUUCUACAUCCCACUUAUCAUUCUUAUCAGCCUGUCGCUGACAUUGCAAGUCAUGGUGGGAGUGCUCCUGAUAUUCCUUGUAAAAUAUGACCUUAACAACCCUGCAAAACAUGGAAAGCUGGAUUUCCUCAACAACCUUGCAACUGGACUAGUAUUCAUUAUAGUAGUUGUGAAUAUUUUUAUCACUGCCUUUGGAGUGCAGAAGCCGUUUGCUGAGUCAGCAUCAAGACAGUAAGUACAAGUGAAAGAAAAACUCAAGAGGGAAGAGAGGAGAAGCAGGUUUUGCUUAUCACACUGAUGUAUGCUGAGUAGAGAGGAAGAUGAGUUGACAAUCCAGUCCCAAGCCAGUUAGUGCCUAAUAUAAUGGUAUAUUGAGAAGUCAGCUAAUAUCCAGAAGAGACCUGAAUCAUUCAUUCUAGAUGCCAUUUGUACUUGAGCCAGUUACACUUGGACACAGCGGGGAAAAAAAGAUAAUCUGAAGAAGCUGGACAUACCGAGCAGCUUUCUCAAGUUUCCAACAACCAACACAUUUGUGUACUUAAGUUUUCCCAUGUGUUAAUAUUUAAACUCUUUGGCAUCUAAGGAAAGGUUGAUUUUGAUCCAAGGACAUCGUUUUUCUGCAAUAUUGGCGUUUCAAUUUCUGUAGAAACUCAUUGUUUUUCAGAGAAGUGGCAUAAGCUCAUCAAACAAGGUAAAAGCAACCCGUGGCACUUCACAGGACUUCCCAUUUUCCAUGCCUUUUGUUUUUGUGGCAAUUUGUCAUUUCCACCAUGGUAAGAAAUGGCAGGCCUUCGGUUCUGGCGUGGUCACAUUGUCCUUUGUUUCACUCGCUUGGCACCAAACCUAUGUACUCCAAAGCGCAGCAGUGGUCGUUCUUUGCAGUGCGCAAAGGGAGCUGUGCCUUGUUUUCUUUUUUGUCCACUCUAGCUAAACCAAAGAUGAGACAAACAGAAACAGCGGGCUAUCUUUUGUCCAGUUUUGCUCACAGGUACUCAUUUGUCCUGUUUCUUCAUCUCUGGACCACACUUAAAAUUUCCUCUCCUUUGUGCCCAGACACAAAAAUAACCUAAUUGCUAAUAGUUUCUUACUAUUAACUGCUAUACUUUGUAUUCUGUGGGUUUUAAUAUAUUUCUGGAAACCCUGUUAGAAGCGCUACCUUUUCUAGGCCGAACUGGAAAACUAGAGGAUACAGGGUGAACUUUACCUGCUAAACUGGUACCGAGUGCCUGUCAGCAAUUCAAGUAGCAAAUUGAAAGAAGUUCAUCCCUCUAUAACUUACUUUUCCCUCUUCUCUUCCCAAGAUUGAUUGCUGCAGUUGUGUUACUCUUAUGAGUUUAUGGCUAAAAGCAUAAGUAAUUUUUUAAUUUUUAUUUUUAAACAUAUAUAGAGAGAUAUUUAUAUCUUCUAGGUUAUUACCUGCUGGCUCAGGGACUGACACUUUUUCUAAAUACAGUAUUGCUAGUAAUGGUGUAGGUUAUAAAAAUUUCUGCAACAAAAACAUUUCAGUCAUUUUAUUUCCGAAGUACGACAUCUGCAAUCAGAAAAAUCCUAGUUUUCUAGAUUGUGCUUACUUGUAGAUGCAGAUUUGUACUAAUACAUUUCCUUACCGUUAAUUUUUAAAUGUUCCCUUGCACAUGUUAAUAGAAGUUUGACUUCCAUGUGUUUCAUCUCAUUUACAGUUUUUAUUGAUCACAUUUCUUGUUAGUUAUGUCUCAAGGCCCAUCGAUGUACCAUAUCUUCAUUUACAUGUUCUGUAGAAUUACUAACAGAAAACAAAUCAGAAACUUGUGUGAUUAGUAAUGGAAUAGACACUCUUUUUCAUUUUUUAAUUCAUCUUUUGUUGCUUCAUUUCCAACUUCACAUGUAUUUAACCAGUAUCUACCAAGCAAUGGUUUUAAUUGUGCGUGUUGUACUAAUUUAAACGUAGCUCAGAACAAGUUCUGAAUGAAGCACUCAGGACAAUUUUCCUUAUUUUUUACAAACCAGCGAACUGUUGAAGGACUAUUCAUACAUGUGCUAUCACAGUUUCAAUGCUGUAGUGUGGUGAAUUGACUGGCCAAAUAGCAGUGCUGAAAACCUUAAAAACCUUUCUUUCGGAGAAAAUAGGCAACUAUAAGCAGAGCCCUUCCAAGCAUCAAAUUUAUCUGUGGCUCAACAUUGGGCAGUAAUUUUGAUAAGAUCCUUGAAUGUACCACCUUUGUUACCUUCACCUUUUUACUCACUGGAAUAUUUGCCCAUCUGUGCAUCUGGUUCAGUCUGGAGGGGCUCUCAAGAGGCACCAACCUCUCUUCUGUACAGGAAACUGUACCUAAGCUAGGUGUCUGAAGUAGUUGCUUUGUAUCAUCCUAAAUACAUAACCUGUCCAAAAGAUAGUUACUUUUAACUUAGUUAUGAAUAUUAGAUAUUUUUCAUUGCCAGAUUUGCAUCUCUAGUUUUUUUAGCAAGACAUUAAAAUAAGAAGAAAUGUGUUUCUGGCACUUUGCUAAUCCACUCACUUUUUGGCUUGUCCUUAAUACCCUAAAGGCAAAUGCAAACAGAUGCCCAGGCUGUACUGAUGUUUACCAUCUUUACACUUGGUGGUGAUUUGGCCCAGUUUUGAAUGUAGCUUUCCGCUCCUGUGCUACUUAUUGCCAUGGCCCUCUCUUAUGAGCAUGAUCAUGUUUGUCUUGCACUGAAACAGCAGUCAGAGGGGGGUGCAGUACAGACAUACCAGGUCUUUUCCCAUUUUAUUCCCUUUUUUAUUGGAGCAUAAUUUUUGAGGUCACUCAAGCAAACAAGCUGUUACAGCAGGUUUCUCCUGAAAAACAUAAUAGCUGUUCUUAUAGCAUCUUUGCUGCUAAGCUGUUGUCCAACAGAAACUACCAAGGCUUGUAUAUCCCAUCUCCCAGCAGCUUGUGGAACUAACUGGAUCCAGCGCCGUAGAGCAGGGAACAGUCACGAGGCAAUGACUUGUCAACUACGGAUUCCAAUGGACUUUGUAAGACACAGGUUUUGGGACAUACAGAAGGGAAAGAAAAAAUACUUCAAGCUUGAACUCAUUGUUGGGUGCCAAGAGCUGGCUGUGGAGAUCAGCAUUAAGGGGGUACAUGUCUGUUCACUUGAAGUCUGCCAGAGCCGGGCAGAACAAAACAAGAACAACGGAACAACAACAAAAAACUGUCAUGAAUCCUUCUGCCUCCUGAGCUCCUGAAAGUGUGGCUGAAGCAUCACAACAGAGAUACUUGCAACUUCAGAGGGCCUGGUCUCUUCUUUUGGUUCUAAAUACAUGAAAACCUGAUCUGAAAGCCAUCCAUCUGACUACGAGACUGUACUGGGCAUCAGGAGGGUUCAACUUGCAACUGGAUGUCUUUUUUUAAAUAAAAAGGAUGCUGGUUUAUUACCAUGUCUUUUAAGGUGAUUAAGUAAGAUUUGCAAAACAUCCUCAAACACGCAAUCCGUGUUUCAAGUCUCUGAAGUCUUCAGAGAUCAUGUAUUUUUUAGCAGACAAAGGCAUCUGCAAGUUGGUUUCGAGUAUAAAUAAUUUAAUCACAUGAUUAUUAUUCUUUUAAGUCAGGUGCUUAUUUAAAAUCCUAGCAAAUAUAUCCUAGGGGCAGCAAACAAAUGCCUGGGUUUAAAUAGUUCUUUGGUUUGCUGUGCUUCUCCAGCAUUCUUGGUUGUAGGCAAACAUUUCACUUAAAAAGAGGUCAUCAAUAAUGAAGCGAGAUGAAUUUUUACAGGCUGUCUCGGGAAACGGUUCAUGCCAGGUCAUCCGUUUACUUCUGUUUCAUAAGCUUCUGAGCAGAGUAAGAAUUACACAUGCUGCUCUGGUCAUUCUCAUUAGUCCCUUCAGCAUCUAGGACUGCCUGGUUUGAAAUUUUUGGUGUAGCUGUACUUACUGAAGCAGGUGACAACAACUAUAUUUACUGGAACUGACUUUUAAGUAUUUGUCUUCUAAACCAGGUCACUGCUGAAGCUUAUUCUGGAGCUGACUAUUACAUAAAAUGGGCUGAACUAGAAAGCAGAAUCCUGGUUACUGUUUUCCCCUCAACUAUCAUUUGUAAGGUUUUGGUCACUCGUUUUAAUUUAUUCUAACAAAUGCUUUAUCCUGUGUUCUGGCACAUCUUCCCACAAGUUGCACUGAGCCCUGCCAACCAUGCUUUAGUGUAGGUACUAGAUGACUGGGGCACACUGCCCUGUACCAGAGGUGCUGGUGUGCUGUGCUCAUCUCCUUGGACCAGGGCACGGGCUUGUUACUUUCUGUUACCCUAAAAGCUUGGAUGCUCUUUUGGUAUUAGAGGAAGAAGAAACGUGAUAAUCUCGAUCAUUCAAAUAUGUACAAAAGAGUUCUCAGAAAUGAGUGACAGAAUCCAAAUGCUAAGCUCUGCUUAUUUUCUAGCUUACCAAAGGUGUUGCCAUUGUAAGUUUUAUCUGGUUCAGGAAAUGCUACAUGUGGUACCAAUUUAUGCACUGUUUUACAGUUUGUUUUCAAACCCCCCCCCAAAAAAAACAAUGAUGUCAAAAGCUGGUCCUUGUUCUACAAUAUAAUUUUGUCAAACCACAGGAGAACUGGCUCUACUGAAAGUGUGUUUACUUACUGCAGGGCAGUAGGAACACAGAAGAAAACUGAUGAUACAUUUUCAUAUGUAUGAACUCGUAUCUUUGAUAACCUGCACAUUUAAAGAAAAAUAGUUCAUCAGUUCUGCCGUAAGGUUAGAGGCAGCAUCGGGCAUACAGAAGUACUGAGACCGAAAAGAAGCAGGCUUGCUAUCUCCUUAGUUGUUUGCAUACAAGAAAAAGCCACAUUGCUGCUAAAUGACAGUGUUUUGCUUUUAAAGAAAUGAUUUGCAGGUCAUAUACAUAAGUACAAUAUCCCAAUGUGGGAGAUGGAGCCUCCCAUCUUUGCAUGGCCAUCCCCACAAACACUACACUUCCGUU